AGUGAACGCUGGCGGUAGGCCUAACACAUGCAAGUCGAACGGCAGCACAGUAAGAGCUUGCUCUUACGGGUGGCGAGUGGCGGACGGGUGAGGAAUACAUCGGAAUCUACUUUUUCGGGGGGGAUAACGUAGGGAAACUUACGCUAAUACCGCAUAUGACCUACGGGUGAAAGCAGGGGAUCUUCGGACCUUGCGCGAUUGAAUGAGCCGAUGUCGGAUUAGCUAGUUGGCGGGGUAAAGGCCCACCAAGGCGACGAUCCGUAGCAGGUCUGAGAGGAUGAUCCGCCACACUGGAACUGAGACACGGUCCAGACUCCUACGGGAGGCAGCAGUAGGGAAUAUUGGGCAAUGGGCGCAAGCCUGAUCCAGCCAUACCGCGUGGGUGAAGAAGGCCUUCGGGUUGUAAAGCCCUUUUGUUGGGAAAGAAAAGCAGCAGGUUAAUACCCCGCUGUUCUGACGGUACCCAAAGAAUAAGCACCGGCUAACUUCGUG
rnacentral:rRNA from 1 species